AUAAAGAAUUUUUGUUUAAUCUUUAUUCAUCACAGAAAGAAUCCCUAAAGCUAACCACAAAAUUUAACAUCCGCUGACACAUCUCCAUCGAACUACGGGACCAUGGUACGCAAACAGCGAUCGUGACUCGCAUGUGAUGUACAUCCGCCGGAAGUGCGUGACUGUGACACGCACGCGGUGCGUACUUCCGCCGGAACCGUAAGUGCGGUGCGUUGACACGCACGUGAGAGUGGAACGCAUGUAGCGUUCAGAUUUUGUCCCCCCUUAUUUUUUAUAAUGUCAGGAAGCAGAAUUGAUGUUAGUUAACCAGUAAGAAUGGCAUUCCACAUAGUACCAUGAGGUCUUAACACAUUACUAACUAAUAAUAAAUUAAUUAAUCAGCCAGCAGGAAGUGAUGUAAUAUCAAGGGAGCUAUAAAGGGAUGCCCCUAUAUUGCCUCUCAUUCUGUAGUUGGUAUUCAAUGAGGUUGCACUUGUUCCUGUAAAAAGGAAUAGUUUCGUUCAGGAUUUGAAAUUUUCCUAAGUUCUCUGUUUGGUGACAUGUAUAAACAGAGGUAGACUAUAAGGUUCCACCAUUCUUGAUUGAAAAUAGGGAACGUAACAUCAUCUAAUUUCAACCAAAUUUAUAUAUAUUUUUUUGAAGUCUAUCUAGAUAUUAUAUUUAUCGAAUUGAAUAUGUGAUUGGAUGUAAUCAUUGGAUAUUCUAAACCUUUCUAAUCAAUGGUAAUCACUCCUACUAUAAGAACUGAUUCCAAACCCCUGAUGAAGUCCUAACGGACGAAACGCGUUGGGUUUUGCAACGUCUGGUUAACAAAGUCCUUAUCACAAACAUCUGGUUGGAGAUACAUCCAUUUCGAGUUCUGACUGUGAUCACCUGGCUGUAAA